rnacentral:rRNA from 1 species
AAUAGAUACCCCGGUAGUCCACGCUGUAAACGGUGGGUACUAGGUGUGGGGUCCAUUCCACGGGUUCCGUGCCGUAGCUAACGCUUUAAGUACCCCGCCUGGGAGUACGGCCGCAAGGCUAAAACUCAAAGGAAUUGACGGGGCCCCGCACAAGCGGCGGAGCAUGCGGAUUAAUUCGAUGCAACGCGUAGAACCUUACCUGGGUUUGACAUGGAUCGGGAGCGCUCAGAGAUGGGUGUGCCUCUUUUGGGGUCGGUUCACAGGUGGUGCAUGGCUGUCGUCAGCUCGUGUCGUGAGAUGUUGGGUUAAGUCCCGCAACGAGCGCAACCCUUGUUCACUGUUGCCAGCACGUUAUGGUGGGGACUCAGUGGAGACCGCCGGGGUCAACUCGGAGGAAGGUGGGGAUGACGUCAAGUCAUCAUGCCCCUUAUGUCCAGGGCUUCACGCAUGCUACAAUGGCUGGUACAGAGAGUGGCGAGCCUGUGAGGGUGAGCGAAUCUCGGAAAGCCGGUCUCAGUUCGGAUUGGGGUCUGC